AGUGUGAUUGCUGGAUCACGUGGUAAGAGUAUAUUUAGUUUUGUAAGCAACUGCCAAACUGUCUUUCAAAGUCGCUGUACCACUUUGCAUUCCCACCAGUAAU
rnacentral:pre_miRNA from 1 species